rnacentral:rRNA from 1 species
UACGAAAGGCCCAAACGUUAUUCGGAAUUACUGGGCUUAAAGAGUUCGUAGGCGGCAUUGCAAGUAGGGUGUGAAAGCCCUCGGCUCAACCGAGGAAUUGCGCUCUAAACUGCAGUGCUUGAGGAACCUAGAGGUGAGCAGAACAGAUGGUGGAGCGGUGAAAUGCGUUGAUAUCAGCUGGAAUACCGGAGGCGAAGGCGGCUCACUGGGAGUUUUCUGACGCUGAGGAACGAAAGCCAGGGUAGCGAACGGG